UACGGGGGGGGCAAGCGUUGUUCGGAAUUACUGGGCGUAAAGGGCUCGUAGGCGGCCAACUAAGUCAGACGUGAAAUCCCUCGGCUUAACCGGGGAACUGCGUCUGAUACUGGAUGGCUUGAGUUUGGGAGAGGGAUGCGGAAUUCCAGGUGUAGCGGUGGAAUGCGUAGAUAUCUGGAGGAACACCGGUGGCGAAGGCGGCAUCCUGGACCAACACUGACGCUGAGUGAGCGAAAGCCAGGGGAGCAAACGGG
rnacentral:rRNA from 1 species